AGUUUGAUCAUGGCUCAGGAUGAACGCUGGCGGCGUGCCUAAUACAUGCAAGUCGAGCGAACAGAUAAGGAGCUUGCUCCUUUGACGUUAGCGGCGGACGGGUGAGUAACACGUGGAUAACCUACCUAUAAGACUGGGAUAACUUCGGGAAACCGGAGCUAAUACCGGAUAACAUAUUGAACCGCAUGGUUCAAUAGUGAAAGGCGGCUUUGCUGUCACUUAUAGAUGGAUCCGCGCCGUAUUAGCUAGUUGGUAAGGUAACGGCUUACCAAGGCAACGAUACGUAGCCGACCUGAGAGGGUGAUCGGCCACACUGGAACUGAGACACGGUCCAGACUCCUACGGGAGGCAGCAGUAGGGAAUCUUCCGCAAUGGGCGAAAGCCUGACGGAGCAACGCCGCGUGAGUGAUGAAGGUCUUCGGAUCGUAAAACUCUGUUAUCAGGGAAGAACAAAUGUGUAAGUAACUGUGCACAUCUUGACGGUACCUGAUCAGAAAGCCACGGCUAACUACGUGCCAGCAG
rnacentral:rRNA from 1 species